rnacentral:rRNA from 1 species
AGAAUCAACGCUGGCGGCGUGCCUAACACAUGCAAGUCGCACGAGAAAGGGGACUUCGGUUCCUGAGUAAAGUGGCGCACGGGUGAGUAACACGUGAAUUAUCUACCUUCGAGUGGGGAAUAACUGAGAGAAAUCUUAGCUAAUACCGCAUAAUACCUACGGGUCAAAGCAGCAAUGCGCUUGAAGAGGAGUUCGCGGCAGAUUAGUUAGUUGGCGGGGUAAUGGCCCACCAAGACGAUGAUCUGUA